UCCCUGGUGGCUCAGAUGGUAAAGCAUCUGCCUACAAUGCAGGAGACCCGGGUUCGAUCCCUGGGUCUGGAA
rnacentral:tRNA from 1 species